GUGCUCGUUUCCACAGCACAUAUACUAAAAUUGGAACACUUACAGAGAAGAUUAGCAUGGCCCUUGGGCAAGGAUGACAUGCAAAUUCAUGAAGCAUUUCAUAUUUUA